AGCAGCUUUAUGUAUGACAACUGAGUUUGAGCGUUUAAGUUGAGUGUUAUCCCGGAUAGCCUUUGACCGUUUCAUAUGCUGUGUGCCUCCAUUUAGUUUUUGCUUCCGGCCAGUACCUGCCAAAAUGGCAAUGCAUUUAUUUAUAUAUAGGAAAGUCACAUGUCUGACAAAAUGAAAGGUCAAGUUAAGUGGUUCAACGAAUCUAAAGGCUUUGGUUUCAUCACUCCAGCUGAUGGCAGCAAAGAUGUUUUCGUUCACUUCUCUGCCAUUCAGGGCGCAGGUUUCAAAACCCUGGGCGAAGGCCAACAAGUAGAAUUCACCAUCGAGAAUGGUGCUAAAGGCCCGGCUGCAGCUAACGUAACUCCGCUGUAAGAUAUAGCCAAACCGAAUUCCAAGCCUGCCGCGUAAGUGGCGGGCUUUUUU
rfam:Morganella morganii subsp. morganii KT, complete genome.